UAGGAAGAGGAAGACACAGCUCUUACUGGG
rnacentral:piRNA from 1 species